rnacentral:rRNA from 1 species
UACGGAGGGUGCGAGCGUUGUUCGGAAUCACUGGGCGUAAAGGGCGUGUAGGCGGUCCGCUAAGUCUGAUGUGAAAGCCCGGGGCUCACCCCCGGAAGGGCAUUGGAAACUGACGGACUCGAGUCCCGAAGAGGAGGGUGGAAUUCCUGGUGUAGCGGUGAGAUGCGUAGAUAUCAGGAGGAACACCGGUGGCGAAGGCGGCCCUCUGGACGGUGACUGACGCUGAGACGCGAAAGCGUGGGGAGCAAACAGG